CAACUGCAGUUGAGGAGGUCAAAAUGGUCAACAGCUACCUGUCUCGUUGUGGCCUCACAACCAAGUAUCUAAUUGAUGCCUAUUUAUAAUAUUUUAGGAAACCUGUCUUUAUUUUUUCACUUUUUUAUUCUUUCUGUCUAGUACUUUGGGAUUGCAUAAGAGUAAGCUGUAACUGUUCAAAGUACAUAAAAAAUUGGCAUGUAGUUCUCUCUUAAAUUUUAAACUCAAUUGUCAGUUUCUGGAUUAAUUGAAAUACCACAAGCAUUAAUGGGACCUUUCUUCCUUCAUCACAUACAUGUCUUGUUAAUAGCCAGGAAUGACAUGCUAACUGUCCAUGCUAUUGGGUGGAACCAACGGAAGCAAGAAGGCCUUCAGCAUUAUCCAGCAGAUACAUCAAGAAAGGCUGAGUCUCAGAGAUGGGAAGAUUUGAGCAGUGAACUGGGGUGUCCUGAGAACAUUGUGAAUCAGUGGGUACAAGAUGUCAGACAAAAGGCUACUGAUGGAUUUGGUAGGUACCAGAUGUGAUGACCUACACAACCUUCAGAAAUGAAUUGAACAAAUGUUUCUUAGUCUUCAUCGAAAAGCCAGCCUUUAUAAUCACACUGAAUCCAGCAACACCCUCACCAAGAAGAUUUCAAAAGUGCGCCUUCAAGAAGCAAAGAUCAUUGUGAUGAGGGAGAUGAGACACCACUGCACCGCACCUAUCUCAGAAGCCUGGCUAGGAACAUCAGGAAAAUGAUAUCAGAAAUGUCUUCAGGCAAAAACAGUGGCAGUUUAAGUGAAGAGUGUCAUCGCUGGCUACUGUGUCGUCUUCAGAAAAGGCUUGCAGAUGUAGAGAAGUUCCAAGUUUGCUCAAGUUACAGCCAGGCUUUAGGACAGUGUUCUUCACUCCCAACCCCGGAGAGCGGGUGUCCUGCAGACUUUA